GUGUUGUACGAAAGGGGAGAAGGUUAGUACUCGCUUUGACAAGGAUGGACAGGGCCUCGGCCUGACCACACCAAGUCCUAUUGUAUAGCACAGGGAACCACGUCCAGUCUCUUGGGAUAGACUAAGAUGGAAGAUAAUAUAAGAAAGAGGAUUUUAU
rnacentral:ncRNA from 1 species